rnacentral:sRNA from 1 species
UGUAAACUUGCUCAGGGUGUGACCUGACGCAAACUUUAUUAAUGUUCUUAUUACUAUCUAGCAACAUAUAACAUUAUAUCUGACAACAUUACAAGUUUUGGCAACAUAAGAUUACAUAAAUAUCGAUAACAAUGUGGUAUUUAUUACAAUUAAUUAAAAAUUUUUUUUUCUUGCUUUAAUUUAAUUUUAUUUUAAGAUUAAGCUCAGGUUAGCCCGCUCGGCCGAGUGGCUGCUGGUCCGGCCACCGAGGAUGCGUUGCCUGUGGAUUGGCUCGAUCAACCGAGUGGCUGCUGGUCCGGCCACCCGGGAUGCGUAUGGGUCUGGAGGAUGUUUUGACUUUUGAUGUGCGGAGAAUUUGGUUUGCUGCAGAUUUGGUUUAUAUUUUAUAGGUUUGGUG